UCUCCCCCUGUUAUCAUUAUCUUUUUCCGUUAAUAUUCUCCCCUGAUUUUCUCUUCUUACAUCCCUCCUAUGAUCUUUUUAUGAAAAUAAAAGCGAUUUUCUAUAAAAACAUAGUAAUGAGUUCAUCAGACGUUACAUGCAACAACAUCCCUUCGAUUGCUGCACUAUAUAAACCCUAGAAGAGGUCAUCUUCUUACCAUGUUUCAGUGGCAUACUCUCUCAACAAUACCAGGUGUCGUUUGUUGCAUUCAGAAAAUCAUCAAAAUGCUAAACAUCAAAGGUUUCGAUUGUUGUAUUCAGAAAAUCACCAGAGUUCUAAACAUCUUGGAUUAUGAAAUAUUUGUGCCAUACUUCAGCUGCACUUCCUCAUCACAAGUUCACUUUUUUGCAAUUUGAAGAUCUGGAGUAGCAUAUUGCAAACACAUACCUUACGGGGUCUAUAUACUCAAUGUUAACGCAACUGUGUAGAUUGAAGUGGUUGAUGGGCCAAAACUUAAUGAUCGAGAGAAGUUAAGUUGUUUCAAGACUAGGAUAUCAUAAGAUCUCUGUUACGGUGGUCACAUGUAUUUGUUGUUCGUUGUUUGUUUUUAUCUGGGUGGAUCCUCGGGUUACAUGUUAUUAAGCCUGAGUAACUUCAUUUAUGAUGAACGGCAAAGCUUCAUUAGAUAUUCAUGUUUGAAUAGCUUGCAAAAAGUCCCACUGAAAAGUUUCGACAGCUCCUAUAAUUUGAUUGCAGUUUUGGUAUUGGACUUGGUACGUAUAGACUCAAAUUUUGCGGAAUCAAUAUUAGAUUUUUAUUAGAAGUUUGGUUUACAGAAUAAAAGGCAAGAAAAAAUCUACCACUGCCAGUAAUGACAGCACUAUUAAAACUGCAGGACUUUCCCACAAAAUCAAGAAUAAGAUCAACAUUAUUAAGCUAGAAGAUAGAGCUAAUGGGUCCAAAGCCACCAACUAGAAAAGUACAAACAAUACGCAAAACUACUUAUUCGAGUGAGGGGCUUGCUAUACUCUUCUAUUUAAGGUCAUUUGAAUGGUUUGGUAAAUUAUGAAUGCAGAUGGAUGUUUUUUUUUUUUUUUUUGAAGCAGAAGAGGGGAAUGUUGUAAGCAACGACAAUUGAUUAAGAAUCAUUGAAAUGAUAAGAAUGUUGGAGAAUGGAGAUAGAGUUGGCGUUCAAGUGUUUUUAUAAAGUGCGAGGGGAAGACGAACAUAACAAGUUUUUGUUGAGUGAAAAUGAUACAUUACCAAAGUUUAUAUUUCGAUUCAUUCCUUGCCUCUAAUAUCGUGGCCUUCAGCUAUUUUUUUGUGGAUGCGGGGCCAACUUUCUAUUACAGAAGUACUUAAAGUUUGUUGAAAAAUAGGAGUCCAACUAUGUGCACCGGCGUCCCCUCCUUAUUAGCCGGACUUAACAGAGGUUUUUAUCGUUUAAAACUUUUAUUUUUCUGUAAAUAAAAUUAGAAAAAACAGAAAGCUAUAUGCUAUCUUUCCUUUUUCUCUUAUCUUCUUCUUCCGCUCCAUUGUUGCUGUAUCUUCCAUGAAAAAUCAAAGAUCA